rnacentral:tRNA from 1 species
GCAUUGGUGGUUCAGGGGUAGACCUCUCACCUUCCAUGUGGGAUGCCCUGGUUCAAUUCCUGGCCAAUGCA